CCUACGGGAGGCAGCAGUAGGGAAUAUUGCUCAAUGGGGGAAACCCUGAAGCAGCAACGCCGCGUGGAGGAUGAAGGUUUUCGGAUUGUUAACCCCUUUUGUUAGAGAAGUUAAUGGCGGUAUCUAACGCAUAAUCACCGGCGAACUCCGUGCCAGCAGCCGCGGUAAUACGGAGGGUGCCACCGUUACUCGGAAUCACUGGGCGUAAAGGGCGCGUAGGCGGGAUAGCAAGUCAGAUGUGAAAUUCUAUGGCUUAACCAUAGAAGUGCAGUUGAAACUGUUAGUCUUGAGUAUGGGAGAGGUAGGCGGAAUGCUUGGUGUAGGGGUAAAAUCCGUAGAGAUCAAGAGGAAU
rnacentral:rRNA from 1 species